rnacentral:lncRNA from 1 species
AAGGUUUCAAAUUUGAAAACAUAUAAUUUGAAACUAUAAAAAACAAUUAUUUUAAUUUUAAUUUCAAUUAUUUAUUUAUGUUUAUUAAGCAUUUGCAAGCUAUUUGGAAGAUAUAAACAGCAUGAAAGAGAAUUUUUUCCGAGUAGAGAUUAUCUAUGUACCAAGAACGCAGAACAAGAAGGCAUAUAGCUUAGCCCGCAGUGCUAGGAAGAAAACGUCUUUUGUAGUUCACAUGAAUCAAGAUCUC